rnacentral:rRNA from 1 species
GAUGAACGCUGGCGGCGUGCCUAACACAUGCAAGUCGAACGCUCGCAAGAGAGUGGCGCACGGGUGGGUAACACGUAGCUAAUCUGCCCUCAAGACAAGGAUAACUGUAGGAAACUACUGCUAAUACUUGAUAAGCUUACGGACUGUAGAGGUCUAUAAGAAAGAUUUAUCGCUUGAGGAUGAGGCUGCGCGCCAUCAGCUAGUUGGUAAGGUAAUGGCUUACCAAGGCGACGACGGCUAGGGGACCUGAGAGGGUGACCCCCCACACUGGGACUGAGACACGGCCCAGACUCCUACGGGAGGCUGCAGACGAGAAUAUUCCGCAAUGGGCGAAAGCCUGACGGAGCGACGCCGCGUGAUUGAUGAAGUGCUUCGGUACGUAAAGAUCUUUUAUCGGGGACGAAGUUUAUUGACGGUACCCGAUGAAUAAGGGGCUCCUAACUCUGUGCCAGCAGCCGCGGUAAU